CUUGCCACAGGGAGUUUAUCGGUAUGGGAGUGUUCUCCUAUGAUGCAGCAUCUGACACCCCACAAGGGCCCUGAGCAGUAGGGCUAACAUGCCGCUCAGAGAAGGCAAUGUCCCAAAUUAAGUAAAGUCGAAAUGUCAAAACUGCUGUGGCAGAUGGUGGAAGAGGGACCCAAAGGCUCAGAGCAGCUGGUGUGCAGGAGUGGCUACACUAUGUAAGGCUGGAAAACCCCACAGCUCUCUGUGCUUCAGGAGGACCCAGAGGACACUGUGUUUAACCCAAGACAUAAACAGCACACUGGAGAGAAGCUGCUGGAUGUCUGCCUCAGAGGCUAUGGCCCUAAUCAAGGCGUAAAGGAAUUGGCUUGGACACCGGAAGACACGGUGGAAGUGGUGAGAAGCAGGCCACCAAAGAGAUUCCAGUAAUUUCCAGAUCAUUGCUCUCCUGCAUCUACCCUUAUCUUCCCAGGAGAAUGCCUCAGUCAGGCUUAUUCCUGGACUUAGUUAAAGACAAAUUCUGAAGACAGGAGAGACACAGACCAAAAGUCCAAUUCUCCAACGCAGGGGAAUCCAACAUCUGGGAUAAGAGUCAAAAUUCUGGUGGAGGGGGAAGACUCUGGAUCUUCUACCAACAUACGCAAACUGUGCACUGAAGUCAAGUGCUGAUGACUUUUUCCUUUUCCAGAUUGUCUUAUACAUGGAAUCAUACAACAAGUAGCUUCCUGAGUCCAGCUUCUCUUACCUGGAAUACCACACCUGAGAUUCAUCCAGGUUUUUGCUCCAUACAGACAAAUCUGUGCCCUUUGCAGAGCUCAUGGACAAAGUCAGAGAGUUCCAGGAAAGUGGAGUCCAGAAUAAGGAUGAGGAGAUAAGAGCAAACAUCUGGCAAAGAUCAGUGGAGAAACCCUGACUCUUGGUGUAAAUACCGCCCAGGGUGGCCAAGGACACGGUCUCCCGGGUUGUUGUGCAGUUGGCCAUGGGUGGGUGGUCUGAUGAGGCCUCUUACCACCUUAGUCUUCUGAUGCACUGCCACUGUCACCAUAGCAGUGGGGUCCUAUCACCCUUCUGGAGACAGUCAUUGGAAGCCCCUGAAGGCAGGGUGUAUGGGACUGAGGGGGUGGGAGCUGACUCCAGAGAGGCGGGCAGGGCGGGAUCCAAGAGGGUCUUGACGGCAGAGCCAAGAAACCCGGCUUGCAUUCUGGGGGCGACAGUCAGCCAGUGAUGGACCUGAAGCAGGGAAGCUGAAUGAUUUGAUGGCUGUUUUAGAAACUCCUUUCAUGGCUGUGUGGAGGAUAAGCUUCUCUAGAAGAUAAAACAUUGGCUUAUUUUUUUUCUUAAAUAUGCGAUGUAUUCUAAGCAAAGCCUAAAUCACCGACUUUGCUUUUUUCCAUGUAGUUUUUAUUUGAUCUUUUUAAAAAGUUUACAGGAAACUUUUAUUAUCAUAAGCCUUUGAUGGUGCCACCAUGUGAAACAGGCAGAGAGAAAUAAAGCAAAAAAAAAAAAAAAAGAAAGAAAGAAAGAAAGAAAGAAAGAAAGAAAGAAAGAAAGAAAGAAAGAAAAGAAAAGAAAUAAAGCAACCUUGCCAAACUCAUAAGUGGGUUGGGGCACAACCAGGAAGGAUUUCACACAGUCUGGAUUCUCAGGAUUGUGCUCUCAGGAGAUCCUGUGGCCAUCCACCCACGCCACCAGGUUCACACUUACCCUCCUAAAAAGUGACUUGGGACUUGAGCACACCCAAGCUCUGGAAAUGUGGCUCUGAGUCCAAGUCUCACAUUAGACAUUUGCAGAUCACUGCCUCAGUUUCCUUCUGUGUCCCUGGGUUCCCGUUGUUCAUGUUUCUCAGGGAGUCUCCUCCCAGUUCCUUCACUGUAUUAUAAGUGUAAACACAGUAACAAAGUUGGCCCUCAGCCCAGUGUGGGUCCUCAGGAAAUGUGAGUGGUAAACAACUGUUGAACAGAGAAGUCGGUGCUGACUGCCUUCUCCUCUGGGACUGCCAGUGCAGGUCUCCCUUUACCAUGAAAAUUGGCCUCAGCCCCAUGAGUCUGGCAGCAGCGUCAUAACUGGCUCAGAGCUGAGGUUCUGCUUUGAGGUCCACCCACAGCUUCUGUGUCCAGAACACACCCAACAGGAAAGAUCUGUAUAUAAGGGAUGUUCAUGAAACUGCAUUUAUGGUGUACCGUGGAUUUCACAGAAAUGCUUCUGUAAUUUGAAGUGGAAAAUGGUGUGCCAUAUGCCACUUGAACUAACCGGUCUCGAGCUCUAUCCGUGGUAUUCCUGCAGGUAACCUAAUGCAUCGCUGUGCUUUAUACAAAAGGCUUCUGAUUUUUGCAAUGACAAGCAGAUGUGCCUCUGGACAGUCUUGUACAGAAUAUGCUGCAAUCCUGUAUCGUACUUCGCUUCCAGUCUAUACCUCAUGCACCUACCCUUGAGGCCUCGGAGGAAAGAAAAGCAGGUGAAAACCCUCAGGUCACACACGUAAACAAAGUUUGAGGUUUUUAAACAGUAUGUUGCUGGACUCAAAUUGGACUUUAGGCUAAGGGGAAUGAGCAGUGCCUUUAACCACAACCCGAGGCUUCCAAAGAAAAGUAAGGCGGGCUUGAAAGGAAUCAAGCUGCAGGCAGGUUAGGACUUUUCCCAAAAAGAAAAAAAAAAAAGGAAAUCUGUAGUUUUUGAAGCAACAACUAGUGACAUAUUCCCAGUUAGUUUAAUAAAAGCACGUUUAAACCAAUCUCAGAGACAGGCUUAAAACACAUCCUCACCAGAAAGCAGAGAUGGGCGUGGGGAAAGGUGGAGGUCACUUGAUUUUCCCUCACAGAAUGCAGUGUGGCCCCAACAGGAUACAGCAUUUCCCUGGUUCUGAAUAAAGCCCUGAGCAGCACAGCUGGUGCCAUAUUUCACGAUGACGCCAUCUGGGCUCUGUUCUUAAUGCUCAACACCCUCAUUUUCUCUAAAUGAAACACUAACCUGGAACCAGACAGAGUUUACAGGAAGACUCACAGUCUGCUCAGUCCUCAGUGGGAGGGGGUGGCAAAUAGUGACUACAGGUGGCAAAAAUCCGGGUGGGAGAAACACCCUCAUGUGUACCUUUCAGAAGUCUGAAUGUCACAUCCAUAUUAUACUACAAGCCUCUCCUCUAUCUUGAAUUUUUAAAAGCCUCUGAGGCCAUCUUUAUAUUUCCAACCUGUCACUCACGUGUUUUGUUUCACUAUCGGAUGUCUCUAUUAUUAAAUGGUCAUUUCUUAGCUUCGUUUCAAUUUUUCCAUUUUACCCCAAGCCCCCUUCUCCAGGCCAGGCAAGGACCCCAAAUCAUCAAUUAUUAUCUCAGGGAAUUCUGGAAAAGCUUAGAAUAAUAUCCCUUACGAUCACUUUCUAGAAACAACAUUUAACAGCAAGUCUGAAUAUUUCUUCCUUUUGCCACAAGAAAAAAAUAAUUCACUGGAGAAAUCACGUUGCCGAUGAAACUGCAAAGAGUGCACAAAGUCAAAUGUCCCCCAUAAAUCUUACAGCUGGAGAAAUGAGAACAGCUUCCCUAAAAAAGGGAUGAGGCUAAAGGGAAUUGUGUUAUCAUGUUGAGCCAUGUUUAUAAGAUUCAAGUUUAGGGUGAACAUAGUGAUCAGGAUAAAACCAGCUUGCUAACUUUGUUUUUACAUGUAUUUGAAAAAGUCAAAUAAAGAAAAACUAAAAAUUUA